GUAGUCUUUGACUAGGUACUGGAGGGUCGGGAAGGACGCACCUUUGGUGUGCCAGUUAUCGUGCCCGCGGUAAACGCUGGGUAGCCAAGUGCGGAGCGGAUAACUGCUGAAAGCAUCUAAGUAGUAAACCCACCCCAAGAU
rnacentral:ncRNA from 1 species